rnacentral:rRNA from 1 species
UGGGGGAUAUUGCACAAUGGGCGAAAGCCUGAUGCAGCGACGCCGCGUGGGGGAUGAAGGCCUUCGGGUUGUAAACUUCUUUUGCUCUGAACAAGGCAUGCCAAUGGGUGUGUUGAGUGUAGGGGUUGAUUAGCGCCGGCUAACUACGUGCCAGCAGCCGCGGUAAUACGUAGGGCGCGAGCGUUGUCCGGAAUUAUUGGGCGUAAAGGGCUUGUAGGUGGCUGGUUGCGUCUGUCGUGAAAGCUCAUGGCUUAACUGUGGGUUUGCGGUGGGUACGGGCUGGCUUGAGUGCAGUAGGGGAGGCUGGAAUUCCUGGUGUAGCGGUGGAAUGCGCAGAUAUCAGGAGAAACACCGGUGACGAAGGCGGCUCUCUGGUCUGUAACUGACGCUGAGGCUCGAAAGCGUGGGGAGCGAACAGG